rnacentral:lncRNA from 1 species
UGUAGUGUUCUGGCUGGUCCUUGGGCCAGCUUCCCUCCUUCUCUGCCCGGGGCUUUCUUGCGUGUUCUUCCCAAGGCUUCAGAAACCUUGAGCGCACUAUCCAAGCGGCCAUCUCUUUCCUGGAUCUCCAGAGUGGUGAUUUCAAGCAGUCACCCCAGACUCAAGUUCCCCAGGUCUCUGCUAUCAGAUCAGCCUCCUGCCUGGCCCCCGCAUGUGCGUCCUGCGUCUCCCGCCUCUGGAGCAGCCCGGCUUCUGUCAACACAGGCGCUGUUUACAGUGGCCGCGGCUGUGACCUUCAGGGCCGGGAGGACGGCUGCCCUGGUGGAGUCAGGCUCUGCUUCCACGCUCACACUCGGGGCCUCGUUAUUCUCCAAAAUACUGAGGAAUGGAGACCCACCCCGGGGCUUGAAGGAGGGCUCCCACGUCCUGAGCUCCCGGUGUGACCCUCGGAGGCAAUGGGGCGUCUUCCUCUCGGAGCCGCUUCUCCUGUGCAGGUUGGCUCAGACGUUGCCUCCCCUGAGGGGCCCCUGUGUGCCUCAUCUAACACCACCCUCACCUCCCCUGUUUUAUUCAUCUGCCCUGACCCCAAGGUCAUCUGCAGUGACCUUGUUGCUGUGUUUCCUUGUUUUUAUUUAUUUCUUUAUAUUUUUUGGCUGCCCCCUGGGGCAUGUGGGAAUCUCAGUUCCACGACUGGGACUUGAACCUGUGGCCCUGUGUUGGAAGCGUUCCUCAUGCCUCUUCAAGAAUCUCCUAUCAGUAGGACCCUGGCUCUGUGGGGGACGGAUUGACUACAAACAGCACAGUGGAAUUUGUAGGGUUGGGAGUGGAGUGGGGUUGUUUUAUUGUCGGUUGUGGUGGAGUUAUAGGACUUAAUGAAGUUGCCCAAACUCACAGAACUCUGUACCCAAAAGGAUGAAUUUUACUGAAUGUAAAUAGUAGUACUUUACUUGAAAAAAAAAAAAUGUUUACAAGUGAUAAGGCCAAGGGUGAGGCCAAGAAUAAUUAAUGCAGGUUUGGGGAAGAAAUGGGAAGCGAGGAUCCGGAAGUCUUCCUGGAGGUGGUGGUCCUCACACUGAGACUAGAGAAACUGUUUGUUGAACUUGAACCGGGAGGAGAGGAGAGAGGGCGGGAUUUCAGGCAGAGGAACAGCAGGAGUAACACAGUUCUGCAGAAGCUGAAGGCUGGAUGCGCCCGGAGGGGAAGGCAGGCCUGGCUCCAUUCCUGCAGGGCCAGCUCAGUCUUGCUCAGGCAUUUGGACUUCAGAGUGACCUCGUUGGCUUCUGGUUUGGAAAACUCACCAUGGAGCAGGAGGGUGGGAUGAGGGAGCCAGGCUAAAGGCGGGAGGGCUGGUCCAGAUGUUCUUUGCCUAACAGUGUACAUCCUUGACUGAGGCAUUUUGUCAUUUUGUCGCUCCCAGACAUUAAGCAAGCACGUGCCACUUCACCAGUAGAAUGCAAGAGGCCCAGGGCAGUUUCAGCCUGUUCUUGUCUCCCCAGCUUCUGUUAACAGUGUUGGCAGGUGGCAAGUGCUUGGCUAAUAUCUGUUGAGUGACAGAGUGGGCUUUCAUUGAGCAGAGUGCAUUGGAGAUUCAUCCUUGAUCUCACGUCUAGCAGUGUUUUCUUCUCUUUUAUCCAAGGGUGCUGUUUCCAUGUAUGAACGUUUGUUUAUCCCUUCACCAGCUGAAAGACCUUAGUGCUGUUUCCAGUUAUUGGUUAUACAGUGUUAGUCACUCAGUGAUGUCUGACUCUUUGUGAUCCCAUGGACUGUAGCCCACCAGGCUUCUCUGUCCGUGGGAUUCUCCAGGCAAGAAGAGUGGAGUGGGUUGCCAUUUCCUUCUCCACGGGAUCGUCCCAACCCAAGGAUCGAACUUGGGUCUCCUGCAUUAUAGGCAGAUUUUUUUUUACCAUCUGAAUCACCAGGGUGGCGCAUGCUGCUGUAAACAUUAGGGUACAGAUCUUCGCAUGAUUGUAUGUUUUCGUUUCUCUUGGGUAAAUACCUAGAUGUGGGAUUGCUAUGUGAUAGUAAGUGUGUACUUCACUUGUUAGAAUGAACUGCCUAGCUGUCUUCUGAAGAGGCUGCACCAUUUUGCACUCCCGUCACUGGCUCCACGAUGUGUUUCUUCCUUGUUGUUUCAGCAGAAUGCGCUGAUGUACACGCUAGAGGGUGCAGAGGAGUCAUGACUGGGGUGGCUAACUUGCAGAUUCCCCAGGCCCUACCCUCGAGGCAUCCCUGGGUGUGUCUUAGACCUCCCUGAGAGCCCCCAGGAGAAGCAGGAGUCUUUUGUAGGGGCAGAAAGAACCCCAGAUCUUGACGCAGGCACUUGGUUUCAGUGUCCAGCUCUGCCGCUAGCUUCUGGGUCACCUCUGUGAAUCAUCCGUCGCCUCCGAGCCUCAGUUUCCUCAUUAGUAAAAUAGAUGUGAAAAUCACUGAGCUUCCUAGUUUGCUGUGAGGGCUUAAUGCGUUACUGUGUGAAGGGGCCUGGUUCUAGGUAGGUAUUCAAUAAAUGUUACCGAUUUUGGUCAACUGCAAAGAUUUUAAAUGCUUCCUGCUCCCUUUAGCUAACGGCCUUAUAUUUUAAUGUUUUUAUUGAUGCGUGGCAUAAGGAAGAAAGUGCCCUGAAGACAAGUGUACAGUUCAGUGAAUUCUCACACGUAGAACUCAUCCGUGACGCCAACGCCCCACCAAAACGGGACGUGACCACAUCCCUGGGGCUCCCCUCAGUUCACGCUCAUCAACCGCCUUCCAGACUGACCUCUCCUGGACCUGUGACUGUAACGGCCUUGAUUGUGAAACACUUUUGUUUUUCUAGUAUAGCUAAGAUGUGCUCAGUGAAGCUUAUGUUGAAAACACGGAAGGCAGAAGCAUAGAGACAGCCUGUUAACAUAUUGAACAGCCUUUUAAAAUGUUAAUUUUUUAAUUGAGAUCUAACAUAAGAUUGCACAGGUUGUAAGCAUAAGGCCCAAUAUAUUUUCACUGGGUGACCACCUCACGUUAAUCACCAAAUUGAAAUUGAGAACAAUACGGCAAGAACCGCUGUUCCAAGGAGAUUGAUCAGCUUUGCCCAAACAGCCUUGUUAAUCUUAUUUAUAGUUUUUGAUAAUUUAUUUUAUUGAAAGAUAGUUGAUUUACAAUGUUGCAUUAACUUCUGCUGCACAGCAAAUUCACUUAGUUAUACCUACAUAUACACAUAAAUGUAUAUAUAUAUUCAUACAUAUAUGAACACACACACACACACUCUCUGUUCCACAUUCUUUACCAUUUGGCCUAGAGCAGGAUAUUGAAUUUAGUUCCCUCUGCCACACAGUAGGACCUUGUUGCUUAUCCCUCCAAUAGAUAAUAGUGGGCAUCUCCUAACCCCAGCUCUCACUCCAUCCCUACCCCCGGCUCCUCCUAGGCAAUGACAAGUCUGCUCUCUGUGUCCAUGAGUCUGUCUCUUAAAUAAGCUUGUUGGUGUCCUGUUUUAUUUUUUAUUAUUAUUUUUGAUAUUAUUUUAUGUACUUGACUGUUACGGGUCUAACUGCAGCAUGUAGUAUCUUUAGUUUCGCCACGUGGGAUCUAGUUCCCUGACCAGGGACUGGACCUGAGCCCCCGCAUUGGGAGCGUGGAGACUUAGCUGCUGGACCACCAAGGAAGUCCCCUGUUUGUACCAUAUUUUGGGUUCCACAAUGUAAGCGAUACCAUACGAUAUUUGUCUUUGUCUGUCUGACUUCACUUCACUUAGUAUGAUAAUCUCUAGGUCCAACCGUGUUGCUGACAAUGGCAUCAUUUCAUCCUUUUUUGUGGUUGAGUAAUAUUCCAUCGUGUAUGUGUACCACGUCUUUAUCCAUUCAUCUGCCUGUCGAUGGUUGUUUCCAUAUCUUGGUUAUUGUGACUAGUGCUGCUACGAACAUAGGGGUGCAUGUAUCUUUUUGGAUUAGUUUUGUCUGGAUAUAUGCCCAGGAGUGGGAUUGCUGGAUCAUAUGAUAAUUCUAAUUUUAGUUUUUUGAGGAACCUCCAUACUGUUUUCCACAGUGGCUGCACCAACUUACACUCCCACCAACAGUGUAGGAGGGUUCCCUUUUCUCCAUGCCCUCUCCAGCAUUUGUUAUUUGUUGACUUUUAAAUAAUGGCUGUUCUGACUGGUGAGGUGGUCCCUCAUUGUAGUUUUGAUUUGCAUCUCUCUGAUAAUGAAGUGUUGAGCAUAUUUUCAUGUGCCUGUCGGCCAUCUGUAUGUCUUCUUUGGAGAAAUGUCUAUUUAGGUCUCCUGCCUAUUUUUUGAGAAGCCCAAAUUAAAACUACAGUAACAGAGGCUUUUCCACGCAGCCCUCGAUUUGAAUAGCAGACUCCUACAACUCAAUAGCAAAAAACAAGCAAACAAAACCCAAACAACCAGCUUUAAAAAUGGGUAAAACAUGACAGCAAUGAUAAAUCCAUAGGAAAAUUUGAAGGUGAUGGGUAUUUAUUGCCUUGAAUGCGCUGACGGUUUCAGAGGGGUAUGCAGAAGUCCAAAUUCAUCAGACUGUAUACUUUGAUUGUGUACAGGUUUUUUUUUUUUUUUUGUAUACUAAUUAUACCUCAAUAAAGCUGGGAAAAAACGAGGUGUGUGGGUCUAACCACUCCCAUGCAGAAGCUUCUGUGUCGGGCCUGACCCUGACCAGGUCUGGAAGCCAGUUCUGGGUGGUACUUCCUCUCAGAGUCCUGCCACCCAGCAGCUGAGACUCAGCUUGUCCCCAGGGGACAUGCACUUCUCUGAACAAUAUCAGGAAAGGAAGCCAAACUCAAAGCCUCUCAGGGGUUUUCUGGCUGUUUUUGACUGUGGGGGUGGAGGGAGGAGGCUGGCAAGGCGCUGGGGCAGGGCAGUGGGACUUGGCCUGGCCGCUGCAGUGACUGGCAGGGCAAGGAGGGCCAGGUUCAGAAGACCUACUCUCUAAUAAUGAUUAUUAUGUGAGCAACUGCUGCUUUAUUGAAGGCUGUGUUGUGCUAAGCUGUGUUAGCCAUUCAUUUUUUAAACAGCCUUCUAAGGUAGGGUUUUUUUUUUUUUUCCCCAAUAGCUUUAUUAAGACAUAAUUCACAUCACAUACAGUUCACCCAUCUAAAGCCUACAGUUCAGUGGCCUUUAGUAUCUUCACAGAGCUGUUCAGCCAUUAUCACAAUCUAUUUUAGAAUAUUUUCAUCCCUCCACAGAGAAACCCUGUACCCCUUCCAAGAGCCCCCAUGUCCCCACCAGUCCCAGGCAACUACUAAUAUACUUUCUAUCCCUGUUCUUGGUAUCCCAAAAGUAGAUUGAAUGAUGGGGAAAUUGAAGGUUCAGAGAGGGUAACUGACCAGCUUAAGGUCACACAGCUAAGGAAGUGGUCUUGGAAUUUGAACCCAGAUCCCCAUGUCCUCCAGAUCCACGCUUUCUCACUGCAGCAUGGGCCUUUUUCUUCUUCCUGUCAAUAACAAUAUUGAAAAUAGUCAACCGUGAUGGCUGAACUGUUUUGCCUGUUUUAUCGCUCCGUUGUCUCAUUUAAUCAUUAUAAUCACCCCUGGGAGGUAGGUACAGUUAUUAUACCCAUUUUUGCAAAGAGGGAAACUGAGGCACAGGGUGGGGGGUGCUAAUGGUCCAAUACAUCAUGGCUGCUAGCAAAUGGAAGAGGGUUAUGAAGGAAAACAUGAUCAUCCUUGAGGACUGGUGAGGGACAGAAUAGCAAGUCCAGACAAUGCUGAUUAAAACACAGUUUUCUUUCAGAUUAUUCCCUCCCUCCCCCUUCUUCUUUCUUUUUAUAU